rnacentral:rRNA from 1 species
GCAAGUCGAACGGAAAUCCCGCCUUCAGGCGGGAUCGAGUGGCGCACGGGUGCGUAACACGUAUGCAACCUACCCUUAACUGGGGAAUAACCCUGUGAAAGCGGGGCUAAUACCCCAUAACAUUAUGGUAAGGCAUCUUACUAUUAUCAAAGAUUUAUCGGUUAGGGAUGGGCAUGCGCCCCAUUAAUUAGUUGGUUAGGUAACGGCUAACCAAGACUGUGAUGGGUAGGGGUUCUGAGAGGAUUAUCCCCCACACUGGUACUGAGACACGGACCAGACUCCUACGGGAGGCAGCAGUAAGGAAUAUUGGGCAAUGGACGCAAGUCUGACCCAGCCAUGCCGCGUGCAGGAUGACGGCCUUAUGGGUUGUAAACUGCUUUUGUAUGGGAUUAAAGUGUUGUACGUGUACGACAUUGCAAGUACCAUACGAAUAAGCAUCGGCUAACUCCGUGCCAGCAGCCGCGGUAAUACGGAGGAUGCAAGCGUUAUCCGGAAUCAUUGGGUUUAAAGGGUGCGUAGGUUGAUUAUUAAGUCAGUGGUGAAAAUUCCGGGCUCAACCCGGGACUUGCCGUUGAAACUGAUAAUCUUGAGUGUAACUGAUGUGGGCGGAAUGUGUCAAGUAGCGGUGAAAUGCAUAGAUAUGACACAGAACACCGAUAGCGAAGGCAGCUCACAAAAUUACAACUGACACUGAGGCACGAAAGCGUGGGUAUCAAACAGGAUUAGAUACCCUGGUAGUCCACGCUGUAAACGAUGAUCACUAGCUGUUUGCGAUACAUUGUACGUGGUUAAGCGAAAGCGAUAAGUGAUCCACCUGGGGAGUACGUCGGCAACGAUGAAACUCAAAGGAAUUGACGGGGGCCCGCACAAGCGGAGGAGCAUGUGGUUUAAUUCGAUGAUACGCGAGGAACCUUACCUGGGCUUGAACGUAUGGUGCAUGAGUGUGAAAGCACUCUUUCCUUCACAGGACUUCAUACGAGGUGCUGCAUGGUUGUCGUCAGCUCGU